rnacentral:lncRNA from 1 species
CUUCAUCCCUGAUCAACAAUUUAUAAUCUAGGCCAAAAGCAUAGACUGAUCUUUUCCUUUUUAUUUAUUUAGCUUCCUUUAGCAGAAAGGACUGAAAAUACUGUUUACCUAGAAACAACAGAUACUCUGGUGAAAGGCAAGUUAUGCUUCAGGGGUCAUUGAACAUUGGAGCUGGAAGCAACCAGUGAUUCCUUGUCCAGCACCCUCAGUUUGAAAAGAGAACACUGAGAACCAGUAGGCUGAUGGACUUCCUUAAUGUUAGAGGAUUAAUGAAACAAAGGACCAUCUCUGAUUCACUGACUGUUUUGUUUCAAGAACACAGGAUUCAGGCAUGAUUGGGGUCUUGAAUACAUCCCUUCCUGUGUAGAUGCCUGGAGUCCCAUAACAUUACCCUCAAGACCUGUUGAGAAAGGAAGUCAGAAAUCACCAAACAGAGCCUGCCUAUCCUUAUGAAACAAGCCUUGUUGUCUAAUGGCACUUAGCUUUAACAAAAUCUACAGAGAAAAUGAAGCGCGCCCUUUGCCUGCCAGCUGGAAAGCCCUUCAAUGGAAAACAUCGCAAUGCAAAUAUAUCACCUUUGUGAAAUUAAGAGAAAUGUUUUUGCCACUAUUAUCAGUGAUACACUAAAGCAAAUUUGAGGUGGCUCAACGUAGAACACUGAUGGUCAUUCCUAUUUAUUAUUUUUUCACUUUAAAAGAAUUUGGACAUUAAAGCAAGGGAUGAACAGAGAGCUAAGCACAACCCAGAGAAACCAGAGAGUACCAGGUGGUGUCAAAUCACUUAUGUAUAAUGUCUGCAGUGAGGAUCCUCCUAAAGCUGGGUUCAGUAAUCCACCUGGAAGAUGGGAGGAUCUGAAGGCUAAGAAGGGCAGCCAAGGGCCUCACCCUGUUUCAGAGUUGCCUCAGCCCCUUAUAAGGCCUCAGCUAUGCUGGAAGAAAAUAUUCCAGCUUGCUUGUGCUGGAUACCUGUAAGAAGACUCCAGUGAAGGAAAGCUGAACACUCCCAGUGAUUCCAUCAGGACCAGAUAAUCACCACUGACCAGUCAACUAACAGCAGUGAGCAUGUGAGCCCAUCUGAGAUCAGGCAAGUACAGGCUAGAGGGUCAGAACUGUUCAGCUGUAUCAUUAAUUGAAAGA